rnacentral:rRNA from 1 species
GGGCUCACACAAGCGGUGGAGGAUGUGGCUUAAUUCGAGGCUACGCGAAGAACCUUACCUAGGCUUAACAUGUUUGGGAAUCUCUAUGAAAGUAGAGAGUGCCUUUCGGGAACCCUUACGUAGGUGCUGCAUGGCUGUCGUCAGCUCGUGUCGUGAGAUGUCGGUUAAGUCCCUUAACGAGCGAAACCCUUGUCCCUAGUUGCCAGCGAGUCAUGUCGGGGACUCUAGGGAGACUGCCGGUGUUAAACCGGAGGAAGGUGGGGAUGACGUCAAGUCCUCAUGGCCUUUAUGCCUAGGGCUGCACACGUCCUACAAUGCAACAUACAAAGGGAUGCGAAAUCGCGAGAUCAAGCAAA